GUCCCCACUAUGGCAAUACACAUACUGAAAUUAGAAUGAUACAGAGAUUAGCGUGACCCCUGUGCAAGGAUAAUAUGCAAAUUUGUGAUGCACUCUAUAUUGAG